rnacentral:rRNA from 1 species
GAUGAACGCUGGCGGCGUGCCUAAUACAUGCAAGUCGAGCGAACAGACGAGGAGCUUGCUCCUCUGACGUUAGCGGCGGACGGGUGAGUAACACGUGGAUAACCUACCUAUAAGACUGGGAUAACUUCGGGAAACCGGAGCUAAUACCGGAUAAUAUAUUGAACCGCAUGGUUCAAUAGUGAAAGACGGUUUUGCUGUCACUUAUAGAUGGAUCCGCGCCGCAUUAGCUAGUUGGUAAGGUAACGGCUUACCAAGGCGACGAUGCGUAGCCGACCUGAGAGGGUGAUCAGCCACACUGGAACUGAGACACGGUCCAGACUCCUACGGGAGGCAGCAGUAGGGAAUCUUCCGCAAUGGGCGAAAGCCUGACGGAGCAACGCCGCGUGAGUGAUGAAGGUCUUCGGAUCGUAAAACUCUGUUAUUAGGGAAGAACAAAUGUGUAAGUAACUAUGCACGUCUUGACGGCACCUAAUCAGAAAGCCACGGCUAACUACGUG